rnacentral:sRNA from 1 species
UUGUGUCCCCCACCCCCUCCGUUCGGGGAU